UGACUAAGAAGCCCCGGCUAACUACGUGCCAGCAGCCGCGGUAAUACGUAGGGGGCAAGCGUUAUCCGGAUUUACUGGGUGUAAAGGGAGCGUAGACGGUGUGGCAAGUCUGAUGUGAAAGGCAUGGGCUCAACCUGUGGACUGCAUUGGAAACUGUCAUACUUGAGUGCCGGAGGGGUAAGCGGAAUUCCUAGUGUAGCGGUGAAAUGCGUAGAUAUUAGGAGGAACACCAGUGGCGAAGGCGGCUUACUGGACGGUAACUGACGUUGAGGCUCGAAAGCG
rnacentral:rRNA from 1 species